GGUUCUGCCACACAUCUCCCUCUGGAUUGCCCACCAGCUAAUGUCUGUGCAGCCGACUCCUCUGAUGUGAACUGUGUCUGUCUCCUUUCUUUGAGGUCUGAGAUAAUCAUCCAGGAGCCUGAGGCUGUGAGAAAUGCUCACUGAGCAGAGGGGGACUCUUGCCAGAUUGUCUGACACUGCCCCAGAGAUACUCUUUUCAGACUGAUUCAGCAUUGCCAGCUUAUCCAACGAAAGUACUGACAUAGGCAUCAACGACGUCGAAAGUAGCGUACUUUAAGAGAAAAUAUGCAGAAGAAGAAGAUCUACAUCAGGAUUACCAUGGGUGUUUUCCAAAACACCUGAUAUUACCCGAGGACAGGACUUGCAUUCUCAAACUCUCUCUGGAAAAGCUCAGGUUUCUUGAAGACCCAGAAACCUACUUGAGAAGGUCUGUGUUAAUUAACAAUUUGCUGAGGAAGAUACAUCUAGAGACGGAGAAAGAGAGCUAUGAAUACUUUAAGGAAGCUCCCUGUUACAAGACUGCUUAUACCGAUACAAGAAAACGGCUGAAGUUUAUGGUACAGGAGUGCUGUUCUCAAUCUGUGUAUUAUGAGGAGCUGCAUUCGUAUCAUAUUGUGCCUUAUGCUUCGGAGAAUGCCAUUUAUGGGCUGGGUUACACUAGUAGCCACUUGGAGCAGAAUUCUCAGUUGCUUAUUUAUAAGAUGAAUUAAAGUAACUGUACAGUCCAUUGA